GUUAAAAAGCUCGUAGUUGGAUUUCUGGUACAAUGCGCCUGGCCCGCCAAGGUUACUUGUGUGAGUGCCGGUGCGCGUUUGCCAUCCUUCUAGAGAACGUUUCUACCCUUCGCUGGGCCGGACUCGCGAUCUAGAUCUUUUACUUUGAAAAAAUUAGAGUGUUUAAAGCAGGCUAUCGCUAUGAAUACAUUAGCAUGGAAUAAUAAUCUAGGACUUCGGUUCUAUUUUGUUGGUUUCUAGUACUGAAGUAAUGAUUGAUAGGGACAGUUGGGGGUGCUAGUAUUGGCCGGCCAGAGGUGAAAUUCUUGGAUUCGGUCAAGACUAACUUAUGCGAAAGCAUUCACCAAGGAUGUCUUCUUUAAUCAAGAACGAAAGUUGGGGGAUCGAAGACGAUCAGAUACCGUCGUAGUCUCAACCAUAAACUAUGCCAACUAGGGAUGAGUGGACGUUGCAUUUUCGACUCCAUUCGCACCUUAUGAGAAAUCAAAGUCUUUGGGUUCCGGGGGGAGUAUGGUCGCAAGGCUGAAACUUAAAGGAAUUGACGGAAGGGCACCACCAAGAGUGGAGCCUGCGGCUUAAUUUGACUCAACACGGGAAAACUUACCAGGUCCGGACAUAGUGAGGAUUGACAUAUUGAAGAUCUUUCUUGAUUCUAUGGGUGGUGGUGCAUGCCGU
rnacentral:rRNA from 1 species